CCCUUAGAUGUUCUGGGCUGCACGCGCGCUACACUGAUGCGUUCAACGAGUUUAUGACCUUGCCCGAUAGGGUUGGGUAAUCUUUUUAAAUCGCAUCGUGAUGGGGAUAGAUUAUUGCAAUUAUUAAUCUUCAACGAGGAAUUCCUAGUAAGCGCGAGUCAUCAGCUCGUGCUGAUUACGUCCCUGCCCUUUGUACACACCGCCCGCCGCUCCUACCGAUUGAGUGAUCCGGUGAAUAAUUCGGACUGCAGCAGUGUUCAGUUCCUGAACGUUGCAGCGGAAAGUUUAGUGAACCUUAUCACUUAGAGGAAGGAGAAGUCGUAACA
rnacentral:rRNA from 1 species